GAUGAACGCUGGCGGCGUGCCUAAUACAUGCAAGUCGAGCGAACAGACGAGGAGCUUCUUCCUCUACGGUUGCGGCGGACCGGUGAGUUACACGGUGAAACCCCUCCCUAUAAGACGGGGAAAAUUGCGGAAAACGGGAGCAAAUACGGGAAAAUAUUUUAAACCGCGGGUUUCAAUAGUAAAAACGGGUUUUUGUGUCCCUUAGAGAGGUCCCCGCGCCGCAUUAGCUAGUUGGUAAGGUAACGGCUUACCAAGGCAACGAUGCGUAGCCGACCUGAGAGGGUGAUCGGCCACACUGGAACUGAGACACGGUCCAGACUCCUACGGGAGGCAGCAGUAGGGAAUCUUCCGCAAUGGGCGAAAGCCUGACGGAGCAACGCCGCGUGAGUGAUGAAGGUCUUCGGAUCGUAAAACUCUGUUAUUAGGGAAGAACAAAUGUGUAAGUAACUAUGCACGUCUUGACGGUACCUAAUCAGAAAGCCACGGCUAACUACGUG
rnacentral:rRNA from 1 species